AGAGUUUGAUCCUGGCUCAGGAUGAACGCUGGCGGCGUGCCUAACACAUGCAAGUCGAACGGAUGCUUUCGGGCAUUAGUGGCGCACGGGUGAGUAACACGUGGCUGACCUACCUCAAAGUAAGGGAUAACGUUCCGAAAGGGAUGCUAAUACCUUAUAAGCUUCCGGGAUUUAGAAACCUGGGAGAAAAGUUCCGGCGCUUUGAGAGGGGGCUGCGAGCCAUCAGCUAGUUGGUGCGGUAACGGCGUACCAAGGCGACGACGGCUAGGAGGCCUGAGAGGGUGACCUCCCACACCGGAACUGAGACACGGUCCAGACUCCUACGGGAGGCAGCAGUGAGGAAUAUUGCACAAUGGGCGCAAGCCUGAUGCAGCGACGCCGCGUGAGUGAUGAAGGCCUUCGGGUCGUAAAGCUCUUUUCUAGGUGACGAGAAUGGACGGUAGCCUAGGAAUAAGUGUCGGCUAACUACGUGCCAGCAGCCGCGGUAAAACGUAGGACACAAGCGUUAUCCGGAGUUACUGGGCGUAAAGGGCGUGUAGGCGGACAUGUAAGUCUACUCUGAAAGCUUCUGGCUAAACUGGAAGAGGCGAGUGGAGACUGCAAGUCUAGAGUGAGGAAGAGGAAAGUGGAAUUCCGCGUGUAGUGGUGAAAUGCGUAGAGAUGCGGAGGAACACCAGUGGCGAAAGCGGCUUUCUGGUCCUUAACUGACGCUGAGGCGCGAAAGCAUGGGGAGCGAACGGGAUUAGAAACCCCGGUAGUCCAUGCCGUAAACGAUGUUCACUAAACGUUCGUUUCCCGCGAGGGAAGCGGGUGUUGAAGCUAACGCAGUAAGUGAACCGCCUGGGGAGUACGGUCGCAAGGCUAAAACUCAAAGGAAUUGACGGGGGACCGCACAAGCAGCGGAGCGUGUGGUUUAAUUCGAGGCUACACGAAGAACCUUACCUAGGUUUGACAUCGCACUGAAGACUGUGUGAAAGCAUGGUUGUCCCGCAAGGGACAGUGUGACAGGUGCUGCAUGGCUGUCGUCAGCUCGUGCCGUGAGGUGUUCGGUUAAGUCCGCAAACGAGCGCAACCCUCGGUGCCAGUUACAAGUGUCUGGCGCGACUGCCCGUGGCAAACGGGAGGAAGGUGGGGAUGACGUCAAGUCACCAUGGCCUUUAUAUCUAGGGCUACACACACGCUACAAUGGCGCGUACAAUGGGUCGCGAACCUGCGAAGGGGAGCCAAUCCUAAAAAGCGCGUCUCAGUUCAGAUUGCAGGCUGCAACCCGCCUGCAUGAAGUUGGAGUUGCUAGUAACCGCGCGUCAGCAGAGUGCGGUGAAUACGUUCCCGGUCCUUGUACACACCGCCCGUCACGUCAUGAGAGCUGGUGACGCCUGAAGUCGGGAAGCUAACCGCAAGGGGGCUACUGCCGAGGGCAGCACUGGUGAUUGGGACGAAGUCGUAACAAGGUAGCUGUAGCGGAAGCUGCGGCUG
rnacentral:rRNA from 1 species